rnacentral:rRNA from 1 species
UACGUAGGGUGCGAGCGUUGUCCGGAAUUACUGGGCGUAAAGAGCUCGUAGGUGGUUUGUUGCGUCGGCUGUGAAAUCCCGAGGCUCAACCUCGGGUCUGCAGUCGAUACGAGCAAACUAGAGUGUUGCAGGGGAGACUGGAAUUCCUGGUGUAGCGGUGAAAUGCGCAGAUAUCAGGAGGAACACCGGUGGCGAAGGCGGGUCUCUGGGCAACAACUGACGCUGAGGAGCGAAAGCGUGGGGAGCGAACAGG